AUUGAACGCUGGCGGCAUGCCUAAUACAUGCAAGUCGAACGAGUAGCGGACGGGUGAAUAGUUUCUGGGAAACUGCCUGAUGGAGGGGGCUAACUACUGGAACAGGUAGCUAAUACCGCAUAACCUCGGCUGUGCCCAGAGGGGAUUAGCUAGUAGGUUUGUUAACGGCUAACCUAGGAGACGAUCCCGAGCUGGUCUGAGAGGAUGACCAGCCACACUGGAACUGAGACACGGUCCAGACUCCUACGGGAGGCAGCAGUGGGGAAUAUUGCACAAGGGGCGAAAGCCUGAUGCAGCCAUGCCGCGUGUAUGAAGAAGGCCUUCGGGUUGUAAAGUACUUUCAUCGGGGAGGCGUUACCCGAAGAAGAAGCACCGGCUAACUCCGUGCCAGCAGCCGCGGUAAUAC
rnacentral:rRNA from 1 species